CCUACGGGUGGCACCAGUGGGGGAUAUUGGUCAAUGGGGGAAACCCUGAACCAGCGAUGCCGCGUGAGGGAAGAAGGUUUUCGGAUUGUAAACCUCUGUCAUCGGGGAAGAUAAUGACGGUACCCGAGAAGGAAGCCACGGCUAACUACGUGCCAGCAGCCGCGGUAAUACGUAGGUGGCGAGCGUUGUCCGGAAUUACUGGGUGUAAAGGGAGUGUAGGCGGGACUUCAAGUCAGGUGUGAAAUCUAUGGGCUCAACCCAUAGCGUGCACUUGAAACUGUAGUUCUUGAGUGAAGUAGAGGCAAGCGGAAUUCCUAGUGUAGCGGUAAAAUGCGUAGAUAUUAGGAGGAACACCAGUGGCGAAGGCGGCUUGCUGGGCUUUUACUGACGCUGAGGCUCGAAAGCGUGGGGAGCAAACAGGAUUAGAUACCCUUGUAGUC
rnacentral:rRNA from 1 species